AUUGAACGCUGGCGGCAGGCCUAACACAUGCACGUCGAACGAGUGGCGGACGGGUGAGUAAUGUCUGGGAAACUGCCUGAUGGAGGGGGAUAACUACUGGAAACGGUAGCUAAUACCGCAUACCAUCGGAUGUGCCCAGAUGGGAUUAGCUAGUAGGUGGGGUAAAGGCUCACCUAGGCGACGAUCCCUAGCUGGUCUGAGAGGAUGACCAGCCACACUGGAAAGGAGACACGGUCAAGACUCCGACGGGAGGCAGCAGUGGGGAAGAUUGCACAAUGGGCGCAAUCCUGAUGCAGCCAUGCCGCGUGAAUGAAGAAGGCCUUUGGGUUGUAAAGUACUUUCAGCGGCGAGGUGUGUACAGCAGAAGAAGCACCGGCUAACGCCGUGCCAGCAGCCGCGGUAAUAC
rnacentral:rRNA from 1 species